GUCCCACCCACAANCAGCAAAAGGUAAGCAUUAGCAGCAAACCCAAGGCCAUUUUANAGGAGAGACGAUCAUUCUUAUAUAGGGACAGCAAGAUCAUAGAGGAAAAUCAUUCCCUCCUCUUGCAAAGCAUUCUGCAUCCGAGAGCACGAGCAACUUCCCAUGUGCUAAAGUAGCCAAAAAGGCAUACCAAGUACACGACAGCCACUGUAUGGUUCAUCCAAUGCCACCUUUGACGGGGAAAAGAUGAAUAAUUUUAGGCAACAAAAUUAGAUUCCGCUAUGUGGGUAUGCAACACAGAAACCCAUCCUUGCCCGACAUAGCAACAUGCCUUCGGGAC
rnacentral:misc_RNA from 1 species